CCAAACUGUUUAAGUUACUUUACAUACACGUAUAACGAAGUGCGCUCAGCACUCCGCAGGCCGGGCAGCGCGUGGCUCGCACCAUUACGGAUCCGGCGCAGGCCUUUUGUCCUACCCUUGAGUAUACUCGGCUAUUUGUGGUGCACAAUCUGUCUCUGACUGCUGCCCUGGGAUUCAUCUGCCUCCCAUUUGCCACGUAUUUCCAGAGCAGGGAGACGACUGGCUCACCGGUGCAUUUUCUCAUGGCGAUGUGAAAUAGUGUGAGAAGAGCUGCUCUGUGUGUGCGUGUGUGUGUGUGUGUGUGUGUGUGUGUGUGUGUGUGUGCACAUGCAGGCAGCACAAUGUCACCUUGACGACGAUCCACAGGAGGCGACGAGGGCGCACCGCAUCUGUAUACGCCACCGGACAGAGGGAGAGAGAGAGAGAGGGAGGGAGAGGGAGAGGGAGAGAGGGAGAGAGAGGUAUUUGCGUGUGCCUCUCAGAGCGCGCGAGUCUGUGUGUGUGAGAAAGAGAGAGAGAGAAUGGGAGAGAGAGAGGGAGACUGAGGCGGGCAUAGCUCUCUCUCAGACAGCUCGCACAGUGCUGGAGGAUCCCUCUUCACAUCCGGGCGGAGCUGAACGCAGAGAUGUCAGGCACAGCGCACACAGUGUAAAACUAAAGCCAGGAAGAGAAAAAGAACACAAAUAAAAAUGUGGGCGAGCUGAUGUGCAGGUGACUUGGAGGCUCCUCCGGCCGGCUCGCAGACCUCCAAACCGCCGCAGAGGGGCCUCGCGGGCCCCCACCCUUCAACCGCAAUUGCUUUUGCCGCGACUGUAGCGGAGUCAAAUAAACAAAGAUAAAUAAAUAAAGGACCCACCGCCGCAUCCUCUCUGUGUAUCUGUGUCCCUGUCGUUCAGCCGGAGAAACGCACACUCGGCCAAUCGUGUCGCGACUGAAGGCGCCCCCACUCUCCCUCCACUUUCGCUCGCGCUCUCUCUCUCUCUCUCCCUCACGACCCCUUCGCGGGACGUGGGAAAUGUGGCAAUCAAAAAGUUUGGAGGCUUCUUUAGGGUGAUGUGAGUGGGUGUUGUGUGUGUGUUUGAGCGGAGACUCUCUUCUCUUUAUUGUGCUUCCAUUAGACUUCUGUAUACUUUUCGAGGCCAAUGGUUUUGGUUCGCAUGAGCGGGUUUUAAUGUUUGAUUUGAGCUGAUGUUUAUUUGAUGGACCCAGAGGAGACUCGUCUACAUGUUAUUUACUUUGUUGUGUUUUUACAGUAAAGAGUGCAGAAUGUUAAAGACCACUGUUGUGAUGUAUGUUCAUUUCAUCAGCAUUUCACAAACAAAUGUAUUUUAACUAUAUCAUAGCUUCGUCUCAUGAACAAAAAAAACAAACACACAAAAUAGACAAUUCACUUUUUAUAAGAUGGUUUCACGGGUUGCCCCUGCCUGCCCGCCGCCCGCACACGCACUUCAACACACAGACAAGUCGCACUUUUACACACACGUCACGAGAAGAAUAAAAACCAAUUUUACGGGAUGUCCUUGAAGGCAUCGCAAGGCCCUGUGACGUCAGUGGCUCCCCUGCGCUCCCUCUAGCAGCCAGUCAGAGAAGGGAUGCUCUGAAUGCAAAGACUGCAGCAUCUUCGCCGAGAGAACGAGCAGGAAAAAAACAGACACACCGUCUCUUUCUACACUCUCUCUCUCUCCCCCUCUCUCUCUCUCUCUCUGCGUGCGCGUGUGCGUGUGUUCCUCCGGACCCUCUCCACGCAGACCCGUCACCCCUGGGUGUCUUCAUGAUCGGAGCCAGGACACGAUAAGAAGAAAGAAAUUAUAAUAUCGGAUUUUCCUCUUUUUAUGUUUUGUAUUAUAACCAUUAACGCUUCGCCGACCCGGUUCUCCUUCCCCCGGUCGACUCCGCCUCGCUCGCUCCUUCUCGCUCGUUGUUCCUGUUUUAUUUAUCGCUCCGUCCCGCUGGCUGCUGCUGCGGAGGAGCGCCACCGUCCUCGCACUGCCUGACAUGAGAGCGCUCUUCCCCUCCUGGCUGCAGCGGAAUGACACACACGCACCCGAAGCUUGAUGGGAGAUUGAUCAUCUUUGUUUGAGCGUGUUUUUAUCCUCUCUCUCUCUCUCUCUCUCUCUCUCUCUCUACGGAAACCGAGAUCACUCUCCAGGUUUUUAUUUUUUUUUAUUUGUAUUUUUCUUUUUAAGAUUGUACCCCCCCCCCCCCCCCCCCCCCCCCCCCCCCCCCCCCCCCCCNNNNNNNNNNNNNNNNNNNNNNNNNNNNNNNNNNNNNNNNNNNNNNNNNNNNNNNNNNNNNNNNNNNNNNNNNNNNNNNNNNNNNNNNNNNNNNNNNNNNUUUUUUUUUUUUUCUUCUCCUCCCAAUUCCUCAAAUCGCCGUCGCCUUUCCGCAAGGACUCCCGUCUUUAAAGGCGAUACGUUGCGUAAGAAUAAAAGAAAGAAAGAAGAAGGAGAAAACACACACACACACAUCGGGGACAAACGAGGGGAUUUAAACGCAAACGCAGCCAAGCAUCCAAGAGCGAGCUCGAAAAUGAUGGCCGGCGGAGCAGUACAGCAAAACGGGAUUUUCUCAAAUCCUCACCAUCACAAUCAACCACCGCACAUGGAGUCCGACCCUCCGGACUCGCGCAAGAGACCCCUGGAGACUCCGACGGAGGCCAGCAGCACCAAGCGCACAAACACAGGAGGUAAGAGCCGGGAGGGGGGUCUUUUUUUAGUUUUUUUUUGUUGGUAAAUGCAGCUCCGUCCGGAGACGGGCGGAAGGGGAGCAGGUUGAUCGGAUCCGUCUGCAUGGCUACGGAUCCGAUCCGUGUAGGUUUGACGUGAAUAAAUCGAAAGGCCUGCUUGUUUUUAUUCUAAUGAGCGCUAAUGUCCAUUAAAAGAACGACGGGCCGACGCUGCUUUGGUGGAAAGGAAACAAUGAGGCGGACUGAAUGGGGGGGAUUUGGAGGGAAGUCGCUUUGCCCCCCCCCAGCCCCCCCCCCCAUCCCCGUCACAUCCCGACAGUUUCAGAUCAGCCGAAUUGGAUGUUGCGUUAUUUUUCAUUAUUGUAUUUUUCACGUGCAGCCACAGCGGCCAUGCUGCGAGCCCCAGGACGAGGAUGUAAACAAGCGAGAGCCAGAUUGGGCUGGUGCGCAAUCCGCAUGCACCCCCCCCCCCCCCCCCCCCCCCCCCGCACAACUCCCCUCCUCCCCCCGCCGAUUGAUGACCUUGUGAUAAUCUCCCACAUCAACCGCCAUCGCCGUAUUUGUUUCCAAUUGCAUAAAGCGGAUAAACAAGCCGCGUUAUAACGGCGGCGGGCCCCGUGA
ensembl:lncRNA